CAGCCGCCGCGGUAAUACGUAGGGUGCGAGCGUUAAUCGGAAUUACUGGGCGUAAAGCGUGCGCAGGCGGUUUUGUAAGACAGGCGUGAAACCCCCGGGCUCAACCUGGGAAUGGCGCUUGUGACUGCAAAGCUAGAGUGCGGCAGAGGGGGAUGGAAUUCCGCGUGUAGCAGUGAAAUGCGUAGAUAUGCGGAGGAACACCGAUGGCGAAGGCAAUCCCCUGGGCCUGCACUGACGCUCAUGCACGAAAGCGUGGGGAGCAAACAGGAUUAGAUACCCGGGUAGUCCCUGUCUCUUAUAA
rnacentral:rRNA from 1 species